rnacentral:misc_RNA from 1 species
UCCGUGUUAACCACGGCAGUCUCUCUAGAGAGCCCAACUUAAUGCUGGCAACUAAAGAUAAGGGUUGCGCUCGUUGCGGGACUUAACCCAACAUGUCACCACACGAGCUGACGACAGCCAUGCAGCACCUGUCACUCUGUCCCCUUGCGGGGAAAGCCGUAUCUCUACGGUUGUCAGAGGAUGUCAAAUCCAGGUAAGGUUCUUCGCGUUGCUUCGAAUUAAACCACAUGAUCCACCGCUUGUGCGGGCCCCCGUCAAUUCCUUUGAGUUUUAGUCUUGCGACCGUACUUCCCAGGCGGGGUACUUAUUGCGUUAGCGCCGAUUCAGCGGGGGUCAAGACCCACUAAAUCUAGUACCCAUCGUUUACGGCGUGGACUAC